UACGAAGGGGGACUAGCGUUGCUCGGAAUGACUGGGCGUAAAGGGCGCGUAGGCGGCGCAGUUAGUCAGGCGUGAAAUGUCCUGGGCUCAACCUGGGGACUCGCUUGAUACGGCUGUGCUUUGAGGAUGGAAGAGGCUCGCGGAAUUCCCAGUGUAGAGGUGAAAUUUCGUAGAUAUUGGGAAGAACACCCGUGGCGAAGGCGGCUCUCUGGGACGGUACUGACGCUGAGACGCGAAAGCGUGGGGAGCGAACAGG
rnacentral:rRNA from 1 species